AUUUAUAAAGUUUAUAAAACAUUUCAUUUUCAUUGAAGAGAGAAGCAUAAAUGCUUUAUAAGUA
rnacentral:tRNA from 1 species